rnacentral:rRNA from 1 species
GAUGAACGCUGGCGGCGUGCCUAAUACAUGCAAGUCGAGCGAACGGACGAGAAGCUUGCUUCUCUGAUGUUAGCGGCGGACGGGUGAGUAACACGUGGAUAACCUACCUAUAAGACUGGGAUAACUUCGGGAAACCGGAACUAAUACCGGAUGAUAUUUUGAACCGCAUGGUUCAAAAGUGAAAGACGGUCUUGCUGUCACUUAUAGAUGGAUCCGCGCUGCAUUAGCUAGUUGGUAAGGUAACGGCUUACCAAGGCAACGAUGCAUAGCCGACCUGAGAGGGUGAUCGGCCACACUGGAACUGAGACACGGUCCAGACUCCUACGGGAGGCAGCAGUAGGGAAUCUUCCGCAAUGGGCGAAAGCCCGACGGAGCAACGCCGCGUGAGUGAUGAAGGUCUUCGGAUCGUAAAACUCUGUUAUUAGGGAAGAACAUAUGUGUAAGUAACUGUGCACAUCUUGACGGUACCUAAUCAGAAAGCCACGGCUAACUACGUG